rnacentral:rRNA from 1 species
ACCCCGGGGAUAACAGGCUCAUCUCCCCCAAGAGUCCACAUCGACGGGGAGGUUUGGCACCUCGAUGUCGGCUCAUCGCAUCCUGGGGCUGUAGUCGGUCCCAAGGGUUGGGCUGUUCGCCCAUUAAAGCGGUACGCGAGCUGGGUUCAGAACGUCGUGAGACAGUUCGGUCCCUAUCCGUCGUGGGCGCAGGAAAUUUGAGAGGAUCUGUCCUUAGUACGAGAGGACCGGGAUGGACAUACCUCUGGUGUACCAGUUGUUCUGCCAAGAGCACCGCUGGGUAGCUACGUAUGGAUUAGAUAAUCGCUGAAAGCAUCUAAGUGAGAAACUAACCUCGAGAUGAGAUUUCCCAUUCGUCAGAAGUAAGACCCCUGAGAGACGAUCAGGUAGAUAGGCUAGAAGUGGAAGUGUAGUGAUGCAUGGAGCGGACUAGUACUAAUAGGUCGAGGACUUAACCAAG